AUUACCGCGGCUGCUGGCACAGAGUUAGCCGGUGCUUAUUCUGUCGGUAACGUCAAAACAGCAAGGUAUUCGCUUACUGCCCUUCCUCCCAACUUAAAGUGCUUUACAAUCCGAAGACCUUCUUCACACACGCGGCAUGGCUGGAUCAGGCUUUCGCCCAUUGUCCAAUAUUCCCCACUGCUGCCUCCCGUAGGAGUCUGGACCGUGUCUCAGUUCCAGUGUGACUGAUCAUCCUCUCAGACCAGUUACGGAUCGUCGCCUUGGUGAGCCAUUACCUCACCAACUAGCUAAUCCGACCUAGGCUCAUCUGAUAGCGCAAGGCCCGAAGGUCCCCUGCUUUCUCCCGUAGGACGUAUGCGGUAUUAGCGUCCCUUUCGAGACGUUGUCCCCCACUACCAGGCAGAUUCCUAGGCAUUACUCACCCGUCCGCCGCUGAAUCAGAGAGCAAGCUCUCUUCAUCCGCUCGACUUGCAUGUGUUAGGCCUGCCGCCAGCGUUCAAUCUGAGCCAGGAUCAAACUCU
rnacentral:rRNA from 1 species